rnacentral:rRNA from 1 species
AUUGAACGCUGGCGGCAUUCCUUACACAUGCAAGUCGAACGGCAGCACGGGAGCAAUCCUGGUGGCGAGUGGCGAACGGGUGAGUAAUAUAUCGGAACGUGCCCAGUCGUGGGGGAUAACGCAGCGAAAGCUGUGCUAAUACCGCAUACGAUCUACGGAUGAAAGCGGGGGAUCGCAAGACCUCGCGCGAUUGGAGCGGCCGAUAUCAGAUUAGCUAGUUGGUGAGGUAAAGGCUCACCAAGGCGACGAUCUGUAGCUGGUCUGAGAGGACGACCAGCCACACUGGAACUGAGACACGGCCCAGACUCCUACGGGAGGCAGCAGUGGGGAAUUUUGGACAAUGGGCGAAAGCCUGAUCCAGCAAUGCCGCGUGCAGGAUGAAGGCCUUCGGGUUGUAAACUGCUUUUGUACGGAACGAAACGGUGAGCUCUAAUACAGUUUGCUAAUGACGGUACCGUAAGAAUAAGCACCGGCUAACUACGUGCCAGCAGCCGCAGUAA